AGGGGUGGACUUAAAUCAUGACCUGGCUGGAGGGCUGAGUUAGGGGAAGAGAAACCAACGUGGGACCACAGCAAGCAUAAGCAGGGAAAGCUGCUAUGCCACAACCAUCCAUGAGGUGGCGCACCAGUGUGACAUUUUCUUCUCCCCUCCACUGGUCUUGGAAAAGAGCAGCACCCAGAAUGACAGGGCUGCCCAGUGGCUCAGUCCUGCUGCCCUAGGAAUGGAAACUGGCUGUCUUGCUGAGCAGGGGUGCUGCUCUGUGUUACUGGCCCGAGGAGGUGAGAGGGGCAAUGCCUCAAGGGGGAGAAAUACUGGCUGAGGGGAUUCGUUUCCCCGGUGAAGGCUCCGCAUUGAACACGCUCACACAGCAAGGUGCAGCUG